AAAAUGUUAUAAAAGACUGGCCAUUUGCAGCAUCAUCUGUGGAUGUUCCUGCUUUGCCUACAAAGCACUGGAGUAUUAUUUCAAGGGAGAACAGAAGCACGGCAAAGAAGAAGAAGGAGACAAAGAAGAAGCUGAUGAGUUUUUUCAGAAGUCGAAAAAAUACAGUAUCAUCGCCAUGGUGACAGGGAUUGGGACUAUAAUCAGCAUUAUUGUACUAACAUUUCUCAUUUCCUACAUUCUUACACUGUUCGACUGAACAUCCACAGCAGCACACACA